GAAAUGCGAUAAGUAAUGUGAAUUGCAGAAUUCAGUGAAUCAUCGAAUCUUUGAACGCACAUUGCGCCCGCCAGCACUCUGGCGGGCAUGCCUGUUCGAGCGUCAUUUCAACCCUCAGUACCCCUUGCGGGAUCUGGCGUUGGGGAUUGGCAUCCAGCCAGCCCCGAAAUCUAGUGGCGGUCCCUCCGCGACCUCCCCUGUGCAGUAGCGAUACCUCGCAGCGGGACAGCGGUCUGACCACGCCGUAAAACCCCCAACUUCUCAAGGUUGACCUCGAAUCAGGUAGGAAUACCCGCUGAACUUAAGC
rnacentral:misc_RNA from 1 species